AACGAACGCUGGCGGCAUGCCUAACACAUGCAAGUCGAACGAAACCUUCGUGUCUUUUUGCGCACGUGUGCGUAACGCCUGGUAACCUGCCCGUAGGUUCGGUAUACCUCCCCGAAGGGUGUCCUCAUAACGGUUAAGCUCUUCCGACCAAAGAUUUAUCGCCUUUGGAUGGGCCCGCGUUGGAUUCGCUGGUUGGUAGGGUAAAAGCCUACCAAGGCGACGUUCCAUAGCUGGUCUGAGAGGAUGAUCAGCCACACUGGGAAUGAGACACGGCCCAGACUCCUACGGGAGGCAGCAGUGGGGAAUAUUGGACAAGGGGCGAAAGUCUGAUCCAGCAAUGCGGCGUGAGUGAUGAAGGGCGUAGGGUUGUAAAGCUCUUUUACACGGGACGAGAAUGACAGUACCGGGAGAAGAAGCUCCGGCUAACUCCGUG
rnacentral:rRNA from 1 species